rnacentral:rRNA from 1 species
AUUGAACGCUGGCGGCAGGCCUAACACAUGCAAGUCGAGCGGAUGAAGGGAGCUUGCUCCUGGAUUCAGCGGCGGACGGGUGAGUAAUGCCUAGGAAUCUGCCUGGUAGUGGGGGAUAACGUCCGGAAACGGGCGCUAAUACCGUAUACGUCCUGAGGGAGAAAGUGGGGGAUCUUCGGACCUCACGCUAUCAGAUGAGCCUAGGUCGGAUUAGCUAGUUGGUGGGGUAAAGGCCUACCAAGGCGACGAUCCGUAACUGGUCUGAGAGGAUGAUCAGUCACACUGGAACUGGAAACCGGGCCAGACUCCUAGGGGGGGAAGCGGUGGGGAAUUUUGGAAAAGGGGGGAAAGCCUGAUCCAGCCCUGCCGGGUGGGGGAAGAAGGUCUUCGGAUUGUAAAGCACUUUAAGUUGGGAGGAAGGGCAGUAAGUUAAUACCUGGCUGUUUUGACGUUACCAAAAGAAUAAGCACCGGCUAACUUCGU